UACCUGCAACUGCAGGAGCCUCUGACACUAAUGAAGUCUCAGCCCCCCAUAUUGAUAUUUUUUUCUAUUUUAUUUUGGGAUGUGGGGAUAGUUGAGGUCCAAAGAUGUCUAUCUCCUUCACAUUUAAACUUAUGCCACCCAACAAAAGAGAUCUAGUGGCUAUAGCAGGCAGGCUCCCAUUCACAAAGUUUGUAAUAAGCAGAUUGCUCUAUCACAAUGAUGAUUGUGUCAGUCUCUUAAAAGGGAUGAUAAAAAGGCUAGGUAGAUUUGGUGAUAAACUUUUACUAGUCUGAAAACAGGCUCCUAGGUUUGCUGAUGUCUUUGAAGGCAUCAGAAUGGUUUCUAAGAGAUGAUCUCGAAGCUGAGCAUUUUCUGUCCUAGUAAGCUCACCCUCCCCCUGGUUGAUCUGAGGCGUCUCCAGCAGAAACUCCUGCUCGCUCUGAUGUACAUCGUCCUGGUCCUACAGGCUGCCGUCUCACUAAGAGAGCUCCAACAACGAACAUUUCAACCAAAAAUGUUCCUGCUUUCUCUGCCUGGGAAGACUGAAAGAGGCCCUGAAGAGAUCCAGAAGAAGCUGCAAAAAGAACCCUGAUACCUUUCUUAAAGGGGUUGGAUAUGUGGUACUCAUACUGCUUUUAAUUAUGUAUUGUGACUAGGUGACAGAUAAGAAAUCAUAGAAACAUAGAGUGGCUUGGGUUGGAAGGGACCUUACAAACCAUCUAAGUACAAUUUUCCUGCCACAGACAGGGACACCUCCCAUCUGACCAGGUUGCUUAAAGCCCCAUCCAGCCUGGCCUUCAACACCUCCAGGGAUGGGGCAUCCACAGCUUCUCUAGGCAACCUGUGCUAAGGCCUCACCACCUUUUGAGUGAAGAGUUUUUUCUUUAUAUCUAAUCUAAACCUCCACUCUUUUAGUUUAAAACCAUUCCUCCUUGUCCUAUCCCUACACUCCCUGGCAGAGUCCCUCCCCAACUUUCCUGUAGGCCCCCUUUAGGCACUGGAAGGCCGCUAUAAGGUCUCCCUGGAGCCUUCUCUUCUCCAGGCUGAACAACCCCAACUCCCUCAGCCUCUCAGCCUGUCUUCAUAGGAGAGGUGCUCCAGCCUUCUGAUCAUCCUCAUGGCCCUCCUCUGGACUUCGUCAAAUAUGUCCAUGUCCUUUUUGUGCUGGGGGUCCCAGAGCUGAAUGCAGGACUCCAGGUGGGGUCUCACAAGAGCAGAGCAGAGCAGAGGGGGACCUCCCUUGCCCACGCAGCGUUUGAUGCAGCCCAGGAUACAUUUGGCUUUCUGAGUUG
rnacentral:lncRNA from 1 species